UACGUAGGCAGCGAGCGUUGUUCGGAGUUACUGGGCGUAAAGGGUGUGUAGGCGGUUUUCUAAGUUUGGUGUGAAAUCUCCCGGCUCAACUGGGAGGGUGCGCCGAAUACUGAGGGGCUAGAGUGCGGGAGAGGAAAGUGGAAUUCCUGGUGUAGCGGUGAAAUGCGUAGAUAUCAGGAGGAACACCGGUGGUGUAAACGGCUUUCUGGACCGUAACUGACGCUGAGGCACGAAAGCGUGGGUAGCAAACAGG
rnacentral:rRNA from 1 species